CGAAGUUUGCUGCGGUACCUGGCGUCGACAACGCUGUCAUUUUCGUUGAAUCGUUGCUGUGCGUCGGGUCGCUGGUUGGGGUUUUUUUGAUUUUUGCGAAAGGAAAUAAACAAGCAAAAAUUAAACAAUUCUGCUAUAGUGAAUCGCAGCGUCAGUCAGUGGCUCUAAAUUCGUCAGCGAUUUGUACAAAACAGAAACGGGCGUUGUAAAAAACCUAAGAAAAAACGAAGUGCAAAAGGCAAAUACAAAACAAGCUUGCACGCUUCGUAGUGAUGUGCUGAUAAUUAGGUGAAAUUAAUACAAAACAUUUGGAUUGUAAAGUAUUAAAAUACUAAAUUUGUUGUUUAAAAUUCAAGGCGUAGUGCGGAGUGUGCUAAAUUAUAUAAGUGCGAGCGGAUUUAGACAUUUUUUUGUUGACUCAGAAAUUUCGCGAGCGCACGGUCUGCCAGCGCAGUGGACGCCUCUAUGAUUAGAAGACUGGAAUGUCCAUAUUGUAAAAUCUCAAUUAGUAUUAAUCAAAGCGACAGAAUCUACCAGACACGCUAAUAAAAAAAUUUCAUAUAUCGAUUACAAGUAAACCAAGUGCUUGUACGAGGCAGGUGAAAAUAUUCCAUUGUGCGCGUGGGAAAGGAAGUGCUUACAACCGCUUUGAACAAAGCCAAUACGACUCACUCAAGUCGCUAGAAUCUGAGUGUUUGCCCAGAACUCGUACAGGAUCACGUUCCGCUAUUCAUAACCCGUCUAUGGAAUUCUCUCCCCCUUUUAUUUAAAACUCUUUAGACCAAAUUUGGCAUUGAACGUGAUUUGCAAUUUGCACAGAAAGCAGAAAGUAUAAGUGAAAAACGCAGCUAAGAAAGAAAAAAUG